GGGCUUUGUGUGAGCAGGCGGGCACUCCACAUGGGCACGUGUGUGAGCAGGCAGGCACUCCACAUGGGCACGUGUGAGCAGGCGGGCACUCCACAUCGGCACGUGUGAGCAGGCGGGCACUCCACGUCGGCACGUGUGAGCAGGCGGGCACUCCGCAUGGGCACGUGUGAGCAGGCGGGCACUCCGCAUGGGCACGUGUGAGCAGGCGGGCACUCCGCAUGGGCACGUGUGAGCAGGCGGGCACUCCGCAUCGGCACGUGUGAGCAGGCGGGCACUCCACAUGGGCACGUGAGCAGGCGGGCACUCCACAUGGGCACGUGUGUGAGCAGGUGGCACUCCACAUCGGCACAUGUGAGCAGGUGGGCACUCCACAUGGGCACAUGAGCAGGUGGGCACUCCACAUGGACACGUGUGUGAGCAGGCGGGCACUCCACAUGGGCACGUGUGAGCAGGCGGGCACUCCACAUGGGCAUGUGUGAGCAGGCGGGCACUCCGCAUCGACAUGUGUGAGCAGGCGGGCACUCCACAUGGGCACAUGAGCAGGCGGGCACUCCACAUGGGCACGUGUGAGCAGGCGGGCACUCCACAUU
rnacentral:lncRNA from 1 species